UUGCAGGAACUGUUUUGUGCAAUCACACAGUAGCAUUGCUGUUCCAAACAGCACACUACACUGAACUGAACAUGCCAGUUGUGCCACCUGUGCAUAGCUGUACUGAAUCGGAACAGCAAUGGCACAAGCCGCGAACAAUGGGUGUGAAGCCAGGGCCCAUCAACUCCAUGGUCUUCACCAAGCCUGUACCAAAUAGGAUGGUGCAGACUUUUAGCUGGAAAAUUGUGUUUCCUGUAUUUUUAAAAUUCAUAAUUCUGGUGCUGUAUUCCUAACCUUUAUUGUCACAUUAAUGUGCUAUAUUGUCUUUGCCAUUCUUUGUAGGAGUGGAUUCUACAGAGGCAUGGUGGGGCCAUUACCAGAUCCCUGCCUGUUCAGAGUUACGGAGGCAUACUCAGCAUUCAGCAUUGAAGACAGGCCGCUUGUGACCACAAUGAACAUGAGACCUGACAAGCCCCUUGUGGAAAGUGCCUUCGGGAUUGUGCAGGAGGGCAGUGUUCUGUCCUAUCAGAUGCCUGCUUUGACGUCUCGGUACACCACACUUCACACUGACACACCACCAACACCCCACUUGCCCAUAGAGGGGUAUGUGAUCUUGCCAUGUGAUUUACCGCUGGUGUGCUCAGAAGAGGAGCAACUACAUAUGAACAGCUUAUCUGUUGAUUUGGAAAUGUCUCACAAAAUUGAGGAGGCUACCCGUGAGCUCUAGCUCAGAGUGGCAUCUGCUCCGCAAACCCAGGGUUACUGCCUCUAGGUUUAGAGAGAUUUGUCACGUCAGAGGUGAGAGCUCUGCUAACUCUCUUGCAGAGCGAAUACUCAAAGGUACAAGGCAGACUGCAGAAAUGAGGAGAGGUGCCGAGAUGGAGCCCACAGUAGCAGCUGAAUACAGUAGACUGGCAAACGUGAACUACUUCCCUUGUGGCCUUGUCAUUCACCCCUCUACGCCCUGGCUUGGUGCCUCCCAUGAUGGAGUUGUUUUUGACCCAACAGAAUAUCCCCAAUUUGGCCUUGUUGAAUUCAAAUGUCCCAAAUUAUGUCGACUGCAAAUAUGUGCAGAUAGAAUGUGGCUCCCCUAAGCUCAAGAAAAGCCAUGCCUAUUACUGGCAAGUACAGGGUCAACUUCUUGUAUCUGGGAUGCAGUGGUGUGAUUUUGUAGUGUGGGCACAAGAGGACUACCUGGUGCAAAGAAUAUACACAGAUCCAGAAGUGCAAAGAGCAAUCAGAGAAAAAGUAGACUUUUUUUUUUUUUUUUACACAUACAUGCCGAAGUACCUGUCAUUAAAAAAAGUAGUGGGCACUGUAGCCAUUGUUAACUCUGUAAGCAGUUAGCUGCUAGACCCUGGCUCAGCCGUCAUUGUUUUUAGGAGGCAAUCCCUCAAUCAUGUGUUCUGAAUGACAACAAAAUGUGAUUUCAAUAUUUUGUUUUUGAUAUAUAUUGUUUGUCACAUUUCAUAUGUAAAUAAAUAUACAAUUGUAUUUAAAAAGACAAUAAA